AUUGAACGCUAGCGGGAUGCUUUACACAUGCAAGUCGAACGAGUGGCGGACGGGUGAGUAAUAUAUCGGAACGUGCCCAGUAGCGGGGGAUAACUACUCGAAAGAGUGGCUAAUACUGAAUACUAUUGGAGCGGCCGAUACCGGAUUAGCUAGUUGGCGGGGUAAAGGCGCACCAAGGCAACGAUCCGUAGCUGGUUUGAGAGGACGACCGGCCACACUGGGACUGGGACACGGCCCGAACUCCUACGGGAGGCAGCAGUGGGGAAUUUUGGACAAUGGGGGAAGCCCUGAUCCCACCAUCCCGCGUGUAUGAAAAGGCCUUCGGGUUGUAAAGUACUUUUGGCAGAGAAGCGGUAUCUGCAGAAUAAGCACCGGCUAACUACGUGCCAGCCGCCGCGGUAAUUC
rnacentral:rRNA from 1 species